rnacentral:sRNA from 1 species
AACGAAUUGAAGCAGAAAAGAAAAGAAAGAAUGAAGAAGAAUUAAAAGCUAAAUUGGAAAAUGAAAAGAGGGAGAAACUGACUGCCCACAGUGGAUGGGAAAAGAAGAAAAAAGAAGAAGAAUUGAAAAGAUUGAAGGAAAACAGCUCAUCGAAAAAGAGUGAAGAGCAGAGGAGGCAAGAGGAGAGAGAAGCACUCAGGAAAAAAGAAGAAGAAGCAAAUGAAAAAUAUUCUAAGUGGCUAGAAGAAAAGGAAAAGCAAGCUAAAAAAGAAAAACUAAAAGCUAAACAGAGACACCUGUCAGAAGAAGAUGAAUUUAAACCAGCCUGGUUUCCAGCAAGUCGAACAAUACCUUUUGGAAGGUGAUCAAUUACAAGUUGGUAAUCAUGUUAUUAUUGUAGGAUUAUUGGGAAACUUUUUAGUGCUCUUAAAUAAACUUCAAAUGUAUUAUGAUUGCUUGCUUUUAAAACUUUAGUAUAAUUUGUUACAUUCAACAAUUAUUUCCCUUUUGCAUUGAUUGUGUCUAAGUGGAAAUGAUUUUGUUUGCUACAAUUAAAACAAAAUCUUUAAAAUAAAUUUAGCAUUUGAUUUAUAUAAGCUGGAAAACUUUAAUGGUACAAAACGAACAAAAAACUUGAUUCAUUCACUUGAGAUCAACUUAAUUUUUUCUUUUUUUUUUGGCAUCCUAUGUAUCAUUUGAUUUUUGAACAUGGGUCCUAUACUUGAUCAACAGAUUAACCUCAUUGAUAUACACAUAUAUGUAUUCAUGUCCAUUCCAGCAAUGAGCUAUUCAUUUUCUCUAGUACCUACUUGAAGUGUAGCUUAUACUAUUUAAAAAAAAAAAGUCUAUGUUCAUGUUUAUUUAAAGCACAGUUCACACUUAGUUCAUGUAGAUACACUCUCUGUACACAAACAAUUUGUCUGUGAUAUAAUUCUUUAAAAAUAAAUUUUUUGUUUCAAACUUA